rnacentral:rRNA from 1 species
AUUGAACGCUGGCGGCAGGCCUAACACAUGCAAGUCGAACGAGUGGCGGACGGGUGAGUAAUGUCUGGGAAACUGCCUGAUGGAGGGGGAUAACUACUGGAAACGGUAGCUAAUACCGCAUACCAUCGGAUGUGCCCAGAUGGGCUUAGCUAGUAGGUGGGGUAAUGGCUCACCUAGGCGACGAUCCCUAGCUGGUCUGAGAGGAUGACCAGGCAAACUGGAACGCAGACACGGGCCAGACUCCUACGGGAGGGUGCCUGGGGGAAUAUGGCACAAUGGGAGCAAGCCUGAUGCAGCCAUGCCGCGGGUAUGAAUAAGGCCUUCGGGUUGUAAAGUACUUGCAGCGAGGAGGCGUUACUCGCAGAAGAAGCACCGGCUAACUCCGUGCCAGCAGCCGCGGUAAUUC